AGGAUCAUUAUCGAAUUUUGAGAGGGGGAAGGGUCGGUGGAAGAGUUUUUGCAGACUGUUGCUGGCCAUCUAUCUGGCAUUUUGCACGUCUCUUGCCUUUCGCUUGAUCUUUCUCUCUCUUCAAUUUCACAACACCUGUGCACCUACUGUAGGUCUUUGAAAGAGGAUCUAUGUUUUUUCAUACAUCACAUCUAUCGUAUGUCUAUAGAAUGCAUUGAUGGAAAUCAUUAUACAACUUUCAGCAACGGAUCUCUUGGCUCUCGCAUCGAUGAAGAACGCAGCGAAUUGCGAUAAGUAAUGUGAAUUGCAGAUUUUCAGUGAAUCAUCGAAUCUUUGAACGCACCUUGCGCUCCUUGGUAUUCCGAGGAGCAUGCCUGUUUGAGUGUCAUUGAAUUCUCAACCAUGUCUUGAUUGAUUUCAAGGGCCAUGGCUUGGAGUUGGGAUGUUGCUGGCAGUGAAAUGCAGUCAGCUGUCCUGAAAUAUAUUAGCAAAGGUGAACAUGCAGGUCUGUAUUGGACAUGCACGGCCUUCGACGUGAUAAUGAUCGUCGUGGCUGGAGUGUUCAGACAUGCACACUAAGUGAUCCUUGCUUCCAACUCUUAACAUUGACCACUUUUGUGGGAGACGUUAUCUUUGACAUCUUGACCUCAAAUCAGGUAGGACUACCCGCUGAACUUAAGCAUAUCAAUAAGCGGAGGAAAAGAAACUAACAAGGAUUCCCCUAGUAACUGCGAGUGAAGCGGGAAGAGCUCAAAUUUUGAAUCUGGCGGUCUUUGGCUGUCCGAGUUGUAAUCUAGAGAAGCGUUUUCCGUGCUGGACCGUGUACAAGUCUCCUGGAAGGGAGCGUCAUAGAGGGUGAGAAUCCCGUCUCUGACACGGACUACCAGUGCUAUGUGAUGCGCUCUCGACGAGUCGAGUUGUUUGGGAAUGCAGCUCAAAAUGGGUGGUAAAUUCCAUCUAAAGCUAAAUACAGGCGAGAGACCGAUAGCGAACAAGUACCGUGAGGGAAAGAUGAAAAGAACUUUGGAAAGAGAGUUAAACAGUACGUGAAAUUGCUGAAAGGGAAACGCUUGAUGUCAGUCACGUCGCCUGGGGAUCAACCUUGCUUUUCGCUGGGUGUACUUCCCUGUCGACGGGUCAGCAUCAGUUUCCGUCGCCGUACAAGGGUGAGGGGAAUGUGGCACUCUUUGGAGUGUGUUAUAGCCUUUCGUCGUAUGCGGUGGUAGGGACUGAGGAACUCAGCACGACCUUU
rnacentral:rRNA from 1 species